AAGUCGUAACAAGGUUUCCGUAGGUGAACCUGCGGAAGGAUCAUUAACACGUAUCCAACGUUAAACCCCCCUGUGAACUUUUACACUUGCUCUCGUGGCCUGCUAAAAUUGCAAUCCCUGGUAAAUCAUUGUUGAACAGAUUUUGAUUCAGGGACCUCAGUUUGGUAGGUUUCGAUCGAGCGAUCGUUGCAAGUGACCUGGUUUCCCGAAGCAUCAUGUCUGAAAGUGUCAUUGUUGUGGAAGGAUAGCGCUGGGCAGGAGCUUUGCCAAAGGGGCCCCAUGCCCCCUAAUAACCCCACAGUUUAAUGUGAAGCUCAAUGUAAUACAUUGGGUAAAAAAACCGAACAACUGUUAACAAUGGAUAUCUUGGUUCUC
rnacentral:misc_RNA from 1 species